UACGUAGGUGGCGAGCGUUGUCCGGAUUUACUGGGCGUAAAGGAUGCGUAGGCGGAUAUUUAAGUGAGAUGUGAAAAUACCCGAGCUUAACUUGGGUGCUGCAUUUCAAACUGGAUAUCUAGAGUGUGGGAGAGGAGAAUGGAAUUCCUAGUGUAGCGGUGAAAUGCGUAGAGAUUAGGAAGAACACCAGUGGCGAAGGCGAUUCUCUGGACCAUAACUGACGCUGAGGCGCGAAAGCUAGGGGAGCGA
rnacentral:rRNA from 1 species